rnacentral:rRNA from 1 species
UGCCAGCCUCCGCGGUACUCCUGAUUGAGCGAGCGUUAAUCGGAAUUACUGGGCGUAAAGCGCGCGUAGGCGGCUUUGUCAGUCGGAUGUGAAAGCCCUGGGCUUAACCUGGGAAUGGCAUUCGAUACUGCAGAGCUAGAGUAUGGUAGAGGGAAGUGGAAUUUCCGGUGUAGCGGUGAAAUGCGUAGAUAUCGGAAGGAACACCAGUGGCGAAGGCGACUUCCUGGGCCAAUACUGACGCUGAGGUGCGAAAGCGUGGGGAGCAAACAGGAUUAGAUA